ACACUUUAUUUGCGAGAUACAACGCCUAUUCGUGCACAAGGGACUACAUGGUUUAAAAGGAUCUUCUCUUGCCUCUGUGGUCGGCUUUAACUCUGUGAUAACCAGUGGCCGAGGAAUCCGGGAGGUCGCAACCUUCAACGCAUGCAAGGGGGCGGCCUCAGAGGCGAUCAAACACUCGUUCAACUUGUAAAGGAUGCCAUCGCACGAUGGGCACAAGCAACAGCGCCCAUUCGAAGAUCAACCAGCCCCAACUGGGCAUCAAGUAGAUCGAGAUCGCGAAGUCGGUCAGCGCCGAAAGGAAGAUCAUCAGGGUAAUGCAGAAGUAGCAACAUCGACCGGCGUCCCAUAACGGCGUGGACUCCGGCAGGUCAGACGGGUCGACUUCCUCGGGUGCCGUAGCUGGCUGUGGUGUCUCCAGCCGUCGCCUGGUCCCGUUGCCGUCGUCAUCGACCGUUGGUUGUUCCAUGUUGAAGGCGAAGGAACGCGGCUGUCGGUAGACGAACGGAGCGUAAGCUUGACUGCGAGAGCAAGGCGACCUGUAAAGCUCGCUCUUGUGGUAUCAAAUCCAAUGCGGCAGG
rnacentral:lncRNA from 1 species